UCUACCUAGGUUCCUCCAAAAUGCCUCUGC
rnacentral:piRNA from 1 species